GACCUGAUCCUUGCGCCGUUACUCUGCUAAAAUCUCACUCGCACCCAUCACCAAAGCUCAAUACUCCCAAGUUUACUCAAGGUUCAUCAUUAGGACUUUGAGAAAACUGAGCUAAAGCCACUACAAAAUCAAAAUACACCCAAAAUCAGUAACAAAGAACGAAGAAAGGCAAGAAGAACAAAAGGUUCGAGAAGAAAAAGAAAGGAACUCGAAGGAGGAACAAAAGAAAUCACCGCGCGGCCAAAGGAGAAUACUUACCCGAGGUAACUUCGAACACCGGAAUCUUGCCGGAGUUUUAAGGCUCCGGUGAGGUGUUUACUUUCCGUUCUGUGUCUCUGAGUCCAUUGUGGUUGGAUUUUAUGUUCCUCUUACACGUCUGACAUGAUACUUGCGAAUGUUUCAUCGUUGAUGUAUGAUGAUUCUUUGAACUAAGCACUGUUUUAAGUUGUUAGAUCUGUCGAAUCCAUUUGGGCAAGCUGGUGAGGCUGAUGUUGUUUUAGAACUAGUAUAUACUUGCAUGUUUCAUUUUUCUGGAUUAGCCAUUGUUGGACGAGAUCUGUGUGAGAUGGAGGAAUGAAAAGGGAUUAGCCAUGAAAAUCGCAUGAGAUUCUUUUUUACAUAACCGGUGUGUGUCGGUUUUGUUAUGUGUUUGUUCUUUCUUUCUAAAUUAGCAGAGAGUGUAGAAUGGAAUUGAUUUCGUUUGAAUAAUCAAGUGGAAAAUGGUAGGUGAAGUUUAGAAAAGUGAUAGGUAAAUAAAUAAUUCAUGAGCCAUUAUUUUAUUUCGGUUAUAAUGGAUUUUCUUUCUUAUUUAACGGUAACACAUUCCUGGCUGUGAUAAUAGUUUGGUCAAAUUUCCAUUAGUAAUAAUAACUCAUUGUUUACAGUAGAAUAACUUGUAUCUAAGUUUUAAUAU
rnacentral:lncRNA from 1 species